CCUACGGGAGGCUGCAGUGGGGAAUAUUGCACAAUGGGGGAAACCCUGAUGCAGCGACGCCGCGUGAGUGAAGAAGUAUUUCGGUAUGUAAAGCUCUAUCAGCAGGGAAGAAAAUGACGGUACCUGACUAAGAAGCCCCGGCUAACUACGUGCCAGCAGCCGCGGUAAUACGUAGGGGGCAAGCGUUAUCCGGAUUUACUGGGUGUAAAGGGAGCGUAGACGGCGAAGAAAGUCUGAAGUGAAAGCCCGCGGCUCAACCGCGGAACUGCUUUGGAAACUUUUUUGCUGGAGUAUCGGAGAGGUAAGCGGAAUUCCUAGUGUAGCGGUGAAAUGCGUAGAUAUUAGGAGGAACACCAGUGGCGAAGGCGGCUUACUGGACGGUAACUGACGUUGAGGCUCGAAAGCGUGGGGAGCAAACAGGAUUAGAUACCCCUGUAGUC
rnacentral:rRNA from 1 species